AACGAACGCUGGCGGCAUGCCUAACACAUGCAAGUCGAACGAGACCUUCGGGUCUAGUGGCGCACGGGUGCGUAACGCGUGGGAACCUGCCCUUAGGUUCGGAAUAACUCCCCGAAAGGGGUGCUAAUACCGGAUAAUGUCUUCGGACCAAAGAUUUAUCGCCUUUGGAUGGGCCCGCGUUGGAUUAGCUAGUUGGUAGGGUAAAAGCCUACCAAGGCGACGAUCCAUAGCUGGUCUGAGAGGAUGAUCAGCCACACUGGGACUGAGACACGGCCCAGACUACUACGGGAGGCAGCAGUGGGGAAUAUUGGACAAUGGGCGAAAGCCUGAUCCAGCAAUGACGCGUGAGUGAUGAAGGCCUUAGGGUUGUAAAGCUCUUUUACCCGGGAUGAUAAUGACAGUACCGGGAGAAUAAGCACCGGCUAACUCCGUG
rnacentral:rRNA from 1 species